rnacentral:rRNA from 1 species
UGGCUCAUUAUAUAAGUUAUCGUUUAUUUGAUAGCACCUUACUACUUGGAUAACCGUGGUAAUUCUAGAGCUAAUACAUGCUAAAAAUCCCGACUUUGGAAGGGAUGUAUUUAUUAGAUUAAAAACCAAUGCCUUCGGGCUUUUUGGUGAUUCAUGAUAACUUCUCGAAUCGCAUGGCCUUGCGCCGGCGAUGGUUCAUUCAAAUUUCUUCCCUAUCAACUUUCGAUGCGAAGGUAUUGUCUUCGCAUGGUUACAACGGGUAACGGAGGGUUAGGGCUCGACCCCGGAGAGGGAGCCUGAGAAAUGGCUACCACUUUUAAGGAAGGCAGCAGGCGCGCAAAUUACCCAAUCCCGACACGGGGAGGUAGUGACAAUAAAUACUGAUACAGGGCUUUUUAAAGGUCUUGUAAUCAGAAUGAGUACAAUUUAAAUCCCUUAACGAGGAACAAUUGGAGGGCAAGUCUGGUGCCAGCAGCCGCGGUAAUUCCAGCUCCAAUAGCGUAUAUUAAAGUUGUUGUGGUUAAAAAGCUCGUAGUUGAACCUUGGGCCUGGCUGGCCGGUCCCCCUCACCGGGUGCACUGGUCCGGCCGGGUCUUUCCCUCUAUGGAACCUCAUGCUCUUUAUUGAGUGUGACGGGGAAAUAGGACUUUUACUUUGAAAAAAUUAGAGUGCUCCAGGCAGGCUUAUGCUCGAAUAGUACAGCAUGGAAUAAUAGAAUAGGACGUGUGGUUCUAUUUUGUUGGUUUCUAGGACCGCCGUAAUGAUUAAUAGGGACAGUCGGGGGCAUCAGUAUUCAGCUGUCAGAGGUGAAAUUCUUGGAUCUGCUGAAGACUAACUACUGCGAAAGCAUUUGCCAAGGAUGUUUUCAUUGAUAAGGAACGAAAGUUAGGGGAUCGAAGACGAUCAGAUACCGUCGUAGUCUUAACCAUAAACUAUGCCGACUAGGGAUCGGAAGAGGUUAUUUUUUGACUCGUUCGGCACCUUUCGAGAAAUCAAA